GACGAACGCUGGCGGCGUGCUUAACACAUGCAAGUCGAACGGAAAGGCCCUGCUUUUGUGGGGUGCUCGUGUGGCGAACGGGUGAGUAACACGUGAGUAACCUGCACUUGUCUUUGGGAUAACUUCAGGAAACUGGGGCUAAUACCGGAUAGGAGCUCCUGCUGCACGGUGGGGUUGGAAAAAUUCGGCGGUUGGGGAUGGAUUUUCGGGUUAUCAGCUUGUUGGUGGGGGAGUGGCAUACCAAGGCUUUGACGGGUAGCCGGCCUGAGAGGGUGACCGGCGACAUGGGGACUGAGGUACGGCCCAGACGGCUACGGGAGGCAGCAGUGGGGAAUAUUGCACAGUGGGCGGAAGCCUGUGGCAGCAACGCCGCGUGCGGGAUGACGGCCUUCGGGUUGUGAACCGCUUUCGCCGGAAACGAAGCGUGAGUGACGGUAAUGGGUAAAGAAGCACCGGCUAACUACGUG
rnacentral:rRNA from 1 species